rnacentral:lncRNA from 10 species
AGUUGAUAUCACCAUUUUAAAACCCUGAUGCCCUGCCAGCAACAUCGCCCAGAGAUUGAGAUCCUUGAGACCAGGGAGGAGGCUUGUGUUUGCAGGGAAUGCCUUUGGGUGCCACCACUAGGUCAGACGCUAAACCACAUCCUGAUGCCUCAUAGAUGCCCAUUGGGGAAAUAGAUUCUGUCACGUCUCAAGAUGUGACAAUGGCACCAGACCCAGCUGCUCCCUGAAUGCACAACUGUAUUUUCCAGCCCUGUGUCCCCCAGCACCAUUAUCACAGCCAUUGGUCCCAGGGAUGGAGCGUUCUUGGGUGGAGGGGACCUGCUCAUCACAUCCUUGCUUUGGCGUCACUGUCAAAUGGGAACACUCUCAGCACAGGACUUGCUUCAUGGAGGCCCUGACACAACUAGGGCAUCAAGGAGCUGCAAUUCCUGAAUAAGAAAGAAAUGCGCCUUCCCACAACUUCAGCACAAUCAAGGGAGACAUCAGCUACAGAGGAGGACAAGAAGAUACUGAUUUUCCACAUUUAAUAUUCUUCAGACUUUCCCAGCAAAGAAUCACAGCAGAGAUGAGGCCUGGCUGCUCUCUUAGGGGAAGUUUGCUCCACUGUCUGCAGUCCUGGCCUCCUUAGAGGUACAGAUCUCUCCAGACUUAAUUCCAAAGCUGCUGUGGUCCUCCUCAGAGGGGCAUCUCACAAACAGGUCAGCAGCCCCAAUCUUGUCCUCACAAAUAGAAUUCCUGUGUACUCCUCUCUGCCUUCUGGCUUCACCCACAGGGAGUGCAUUCCAGAAUAGACUAGAAUGGUCCAGAAGUUUCUGAGAAUUCUAGAAUGCCUGUACCCUCCUACUGGGAAACCCAGCUUUCUGCAGCAGGACUCUUGCAGAUUUCAGAAUCCCCCACCUACAGGUUCUUCCCCUACAUGAACUGCACCGGAGUUCAGAAAUGGGGUGUACUUUCCCCACACUGGGUGUCUCUGUUACCUCACUGCCCAAAUUCUCCUGCUGCUCAGAAUUUUCUCUCCUGUACCUCCUUUUCCUCCAAUUUUCAAUCACAGUCCACAGUGGAUGUGUAAGAGGCACACCAGGGAGUCUUGUAAGCAACUGGUGACAAAGUCAGGCUUCCCUGGCCUCCCACGGAAGAUAUAUGCUCCUCCUCUGGGCCCUUGGCAUUCGAUGUAAAAGCUUGAUACAGCUUUUACUACAUGACAUUGCAACUGUUGGAAGCCCCUUCUCUAGAAAGUACUAACUAUCAUUUAUUGAGCACUUCUUAUGUGAAAGUGUUCAACAUGCAUUAUUUACAAUCCUGUGAGAUAGGUGUUCCUUGUCCCUUGCAACAGGUAAAGAAGAGACUGAGGCUCAAAAAAUUUAAGUUAACAUCAAGAUGCCACAGCCUAGUAGAGAAAUCAAGCUUUGGCUGGGCAGGCCUGGCACCAAAGCCAGGCUUGCCUCCCUCAUCCCUGCUGCCACCCAGCGUCCUGGGGCCUGUAGGUCCGGGCUGAGUCUUUCCUCUCCGUCCUGAGAUUUUACCCCAGGACGUGAGACUCUCAGUGCUAAAACAAGAACAGUGUGUCGCCUCUCACGGGAACAUGCACACCUGGAUGUUAAGGCAGGCCUGAGGCUUAAAAUGUGGGUGCCAGGCUGCAUGGAGGAAGGAGGAAGAACAGGCCUUGUAGACCAGGACAGCUGUAGGAUGGGGAUUCCUG